rnacentral:rRNA from 1 species
GAAGGGGGCUAGCGUUGUUCGGAAWUACUGGGCGUAAAGCGCGUGUAGGCGGGUCUUUAAGUCAGGGGUGAAAUGCCAAGGCUCAACCUUGGAACUGCCUUUGAUACUGGAGACCUUGAGUCCGGGAGAGGUGAGUGGAAUUGCGAGUGUAGAGGUGAAAUUCGUAGAUAUUCGCAAGAACACCAGUGGCGAAGGCGGCUCACUGGCCCGGAACUGACGCUGAGAUGCGAAAGCGUGGGGAGCAAACAGGAUUAGAUACCCUGGUAGUCCACGCUGUAAACGAUGGAUGCUAGCCGUUGGGGAGCUUGCUCUUCAGUGGCGCAGCUAACGCUUUAAGCAUCCCGCCUGGGGAGUACGGUCGCAAGAUUA